UUUUGUUUACCGAGGGUUCGAAUCCCUCUCUUUCCG
rnacentral:tRNA from 2 species